rnacentral:rRNA from 1 species
AAUGAACGUUGGCGGCGUGGAUUAGGCAUGCAAGUCGAGCGAGAACCGUAGCAAUACGGGGACAGCGGCGAAAGGGAGAGUAAUACGUGGAUACCUACCCUCAGGUUCGGGAUAGCUACGGGAAACUGUAGGUAAUACCGAAUAACAUCUCCGGAUCAAAGGUGAGAUUCCGCCGGAGGAAGGGUCCGCGUCCUAUUAGCUAGUUGGCGAGGUAACGGCUCACCAAGGCUGUGAUGGGUAUGGGGUGUGAGAGCAUGGCCCCACUCACUGGGACUGCGACACUGCCCAGACACCUACGGGUGGCUGCAGUCGAGAAUCUUCGGCAAUGGGGGCAACCCUGACCGAGCGACGCCGCGUGCGAGAUGAAGGCCUUCGGGUUGUAAAUCGCUGUCAGAGGGGAGGAAAUGCCGGUGGGUUCUCCCAUCGGUUUGACCUAUCCUCAGAGGAAGGACGGGCUAAGUUCGUGCCAGCAGCCGCAGUAACAC